GUGGAAAUUACUCCUAAUCCCUAUUAGGGAUUGAAAC
rfam:Desertifilum sp. IPPAS B-1220 NODE_82_length_14348_cov_31.7184, whole genome shotgun sequence.